GUGGGAAGCGCACGGCCGCAAAUCCGACUGUGCCGUCCACUCUUUCGGACGGCUUGGGAUUGCGGAAGUGC
rfam:Halobiforma nitratireducens JCM 10879 contig_110, whole genome shotgun sequence.